rnacentral:rRNA from 1 species
CCUACGGGAGGCUGCAGUAGGGAAUUUUCGGCAAUGGGGGGAACCCUGACCGAGCAACGCCGCGUGAACGAAGAAGUUAUUCGUAAUGUAAAGUUCUUUCGGACGUGACGAUGAUGACGGUAGCGUCUAAAGAAGCACCGGCCAACUUCGUGCCAGCAGCCGCGGUAAUACGAAGGGUGCGAGCGUUGUUCGGAAUUACUGGGCGUAAAGGGAGUGUAGGCGGAUAUGUAAGAUAGCGGUGAAAUGCCGGGGCUCAACCCCGGAACUGCCAUUAUGACUAUGUAUCUAGAGCAAUGGAGAGGAUAGCGGAAUACCCAGUGUAGAGGUGAAAUUCGUAGAUAUUGGGUAGAACACCGGUGGCGAAGGCGGCUAUCUGGCCAUUUACUGACGCUGAGGCUCGAAAGCAUGGGGAUCAAACAGGAUUAGAUACCCUAGUAGUC